rnacentral:SRP_RNA from 1 species
GCCGGGGGCCGUGGCGUGCGCCUGUAGUCCCAGCUACUCGGGAGGCUGAGGCAGGAGGAUCGCUUGAGCCCAGGAGUUCUGGGCUGUAGUGAGCUAUGCCAAUCGGGUGUCCGCACUAAGUUCGGCAUCAAUAUGGUGACCUCCCGGGAGGGGGGGACCACCAGGUUGCCUAAGGAGGGGUAAACUGGCCCAGGUUGGAAACGGAGCAGGUCAAAACUCCCGUGCAGAUCAGAUAACCUGAGAUACUACGUAUAAAAAAGGACUAACGUAGAGCCUGACACUAGAAAGUGUCAACAGCAA